GGCCCAAUGGUCUAGUCGUAUGAUACCUCCUUCGGGUUUAAUCCCUUGCGAUUACGUAACUGGUGGUGGCCCCGGGUUCAAUUCCCGGUUGGGCCC